rnacentral:misc_RNA from 1 species
GUGUGUGUGUGUGUGUGUGCGCGCACUGAAUAGUCGUGUGUGUGUGUCUGUGUGUGUGUAUACACUGAAUAGUCGAAUAUCAAACUUGGAGAUAUUAGGAUCAACAGAUGACCUUGCUUGACUUAGCCUCAACAAAGUAAUUGAUAUUACAUUUUGUCCAAAAUAUAAACAUAUAUAAGAGAUAAAGUUAAGGAUGGUAAAAUUUUAUAAUACAUGUAUUUUCUAUAUUUUUAACCCCACUAACCUUAUCAUGACUUAGGUCACCUAACUUCACAUUGUAACAUUUUGCUUGGGUGAUAUUUUCAUUCUAAUUUAAUUCAUCUAUUUCCCAGUGAGCCAGACCUGUGUGCAACAAACACAAACUCAACACAACUUAUUAAGGCAUUGUCCCAACUCCAUUAUUCUUAAGAAAGACAUUCGAAUACAUUCCUCUAACAUUAAUAGACAGGAAAUACAAGCAUCUUCAAUAUGUUACCUUUUUAUAGAAUUUCCAAUAGUAAGACGUGUCCAAAUUAAUCAUUGUAUGAAAUGGAAAAACUUAUCACCCGACAUGCUGAUGUUGUUGUAAUAAAACAUGAAAAACCAAAGAACGCACACUCAUGCAACUGACAACAUCAAAAUCAAAUAAACCCAUUAUGGCAUUACCUGCGUCUAAACCUGCAUGCACAUCCACAUGCAAGUACCAGUCCGUGCACCUAGUGUAGACCGGGGAGAAAGCAUGACCAUAAUAGCAUUAGAAUUAAAAUUCUCACAUGCAAUUCUCAAUCCAUAAAACUUCUUCCUUUCAGGUUCACUCUAAGUUGGUACCUUCAUGCUCAUAAGAACAUUUACAUUAAUCUUUAUCAAGAAGCAGACACUUGUUAUUACAAUAUUUAUAUGCAUAUUAGUUUAUUUAUAGUUUUCUGUUUUCCUUUUUCUAAAUGUAUGCAAAUUUUUCAAAAUUAAUAGUUUUAUUAAAAAUGGUUAUCCUCUUCUUCCUUGUUGAACUUGAUUUAUGAUUGUUCAUCUAUAAUACAAAUUUGCAAAACUAUUUCUUAAUUGAGUACACUUAUGAAUUGC